rnacentral:rRNA from 1 species
UACGAAGGGGGCUAGCGUUGCUCGGAAUUACUGGGCGUAAAGGGCGCGUAGGCGGCACUGUUAGUCAGGCGUGAAAUUCCUGGGCUCAACCUGGGGACUGCGCUUGAUACGGCAGAGCUUGAGGAUGGAAGAGGGUCGCGGAAUUCCCAGUGUAGAGGUGAAAUUCGUAGAUAUUGGGAAGAACACCGGUGGCGAAGGCGGCGACCUGGUCCAUUACUGACGCUGAGGCGCGACAGCAUGGGGAGCGAACAGG